rnacentral:rRNA from 1 species
UACAGAGGGGGCAAGCGUUGUUCGGAAUUACUGGGCGUAAAGGGCGCGUAGGCGGCCUGCUAAGUCGAACGUGAAAUCCCCGGGCUCAACCCGGGAACUGCGUCCGAUACUGGCAGGCUUGAAUCCGGGAGAGGGAUGUGGAAUUCCAGGUGUAGCGGUGAAAUUCGUAGAUAUCGGGAGGAACACCAGUGGCGAAGGCGGCGAUCUGGGCAGAUACUGACGCUGAGGUGCGAAAGCGUGGGGAGCAAACAGG